CGCGACGCCGCGUGCGGGAGGACGCCCUUCGGGGUGUAAACCGCUGUCAGAGGGGAAGAAACGCCCGGGCGUGAACAGCGACCGGAAUUGACGGUACCCUCAAAGGAAGCACCGGCUAACUACGUGCCAGCAGCCGCGGUAAUACGUAGGGUGCAAGCGUUAAUCGGAAUUACUGGGCGUAAAGCGUGCGCAGGCGGUUAUGUAAGACAGAUGUGAAAUGCCCGGGCUUAACCUGGGAACUGCAUUUGUGACUGCAUGGCUAGAGUGUGUCAGAGGGGGGUAGAAUUCCACGUGUAGCAGUGAAAUGCGUAGAUAUGUGGAGGAAUACCGAUGGCGAAGGCAGCCCCCUGGGAUAACACUGACGCUCAUGCACGAAAGCGUGGGGAGCAAACAGGAUUAGAUACCCUGGUAGUCCACGCCCUAAACGAUGUCUACUGGUUGUCGGGUCUUAAUUGACUUGGUAACGCAGCUAACGCGUGAAGUAGACCGCCUGGGGAGUACGGUCGCAAGAUUA
rnacentral:rRNA from 1 species